UAUGAUAGUGCCUGACUUAAAAGGAUAAUUUUGAUAGAAUUAAAUAUGUAAUUAUUACCUUCAU
rnacentral:tRNA from 1 species